ACUGCUCAGUAACACGUGGAUAACCUACCCAAGAGUCCGGGAUAACCCCGGGAAACUGGGGAUAAUACCGGAUAGGUCAAGCUUGCUGGAAGGCUGUUUGGCUGAAACCUCCGGGGCUUUUGGAUGGGUCUGCGGCUGAUUAGGUUGUUGCCGGCGUAACGUACCGUCAAGCCUGUAAUCAGUACGGGUUGUGGGAGCAAGAGCCCGGAGAUGGAUUCUGAGACACGAAUCCAGGCCCUACGGGGCGCAGCAGGCGCGAAAACUCUACAAUGCAGGCAACUGCGAUAGGGGAACAUCGAGUGGCGUCCAUAUUGGAUGUCUGUCCUCCCGCCUAAAAAGCGGGAGUUAGCAAGGGCCGGGCAAGACCGGUGCCAGCCGCCGCGGUAAUACCGGCGGCUCGAGUGGUGGCCGAUAUUAUUGAGUCUAAAGGGUCCGUAGCCGGCUUUGCAAGUCUCUCGGGAAAUCCAGCGGCUUAACCGUUGGUCGUCCGGGGGGUACUACAUUGCUUGGGACUGGGAGAGGUAGGAGGUACUCAGGGGGUAGGAGUGAAAUCCUGUAAUCCUUUGGGGACCACCGGUGGCGAAGGCGUCCUACCAGAACAGGUCCGACGGAGGGACGAAAGCUAGGGGCACGAACCGGAUUAGAUACCCGGGUAGUCCUAGCCGUAAACGAUGCUCGCUAGGUGUCAGGCAUGGCGCGACCGUGUCUGGUGCCGCAGGGAAGCCGUGAAGCGAGCCACUUGGGAAGUACGACCGCAAGGUUGAAACUUAAAGGAAUUGGCGGGGGAGCACA
rnacentral:rRNA from 1 species